GGAAGUUUGCAAUCCAUUUGCGAACUCUUUUAGUAAAACAUCUAUCUUAGAUGUUUUCUUGAUCUUAUUCGUAUAUUCUUCCACCAUAUUGGUAAGGCCACCAGAUGGCCUCUCACCCAUUUUGAGAUUAUAUUGGCCAUCAUAGCCAAUAGGAUGAUAUGCUUGUUGGGAACAAUAAUUAGGCUCAUUGUACAUAUAGGUGUAUCUGACAGGACCCGACCCAAAUUCCAC
rnacentral:lncRNA from 1 species